rnacentral:ncRNA from 1 species
GAAAUUAAUUGCACAGAGCUGACAGGUUAAUAGCCCUUUCUUGAUUGUGUGGUGGGUAGUGCAUGGCCGUUUCCAGUUCGUGGAGUGAUCUGUCUUGUUAAUUCAGAUAACGAACGAGACCUAAGCCUUUAACUAGCCGUAGGCCUUUUCCUUCGGGGAAGGGUUAGUUUGUCGGAACAGGUUUCGGCCUGUUCCAAAACCUACGAGACUUUUGUCAGCUUCUUAAAGGGACUUCAUUCGUAAACUAGGAUGAGGAAGAUUUAGGCCAUAACAGGUCUGUGAUGCUCUUAGAUGUCCUGGGCUGCACGCGUACAACCAGCGAGCGCUAUGGUUUUAUAACCCCUUAUCCUAAUAGGAUUGGGAAAACUUUUCAAACAGUAAUCAUGCCAAGUUUGGCCAAUGGAUAACAUGGAAAGA